UACGGGGGGGGCAAGCGUUGUUCGGAAUUACUGGGCGUAAAGGGCGCGUAGGCGGUCAGCACAAGUCAGUUGUGAAAUCUCCGGGCUUAACUCGGAAAGGUCAACUGAUACUGUGCGACUAGAGUGCAGAAGGGGCAACUGGAAUUCUCGGUGUAGCGGUGAAAUGCGUAGAUAUCGAGAGGAACACCUGCGGCGAAGGCGGCUCUCUGGUACGUGACUGACGCUGAGACGCGAAAGCCGUGGGGAGCGAACAGG
rnacentral:rRNA from 1 species